rnacentral:lncRNA from 1 species
UGUUGAUUUUAAAGUAACACCUAUUUUUAAAGGGACUGGUUAGCCCAGAAUAUGUAUAGCAUUUAAUAAUAUGAUUUAAAUACAUUUAAGGAAACUAAUUUCUACACUUUGGGACACACUGACAGGCAGGAAAUGAGAGAUGUAAAGAUGAAAUGGUGUUAACAAAAAACUGGGAAACACGGAGAAAGGCUCAGGAAUUACUGAGGAGGUUCUUUUUUACUUUGGUAAUGUGUUAAAGUCUCCAAUUUAACUGUUUUAGUGAUCUGGAAUGAUGCUUCCAUGGAAAGGCUUUGGUAAACCUCGGAGGAAGACCAGUGAUACUUGAUGAGGUAUCUGUGAUUUGAAAAGGAGAAGGGAAGGAUUAAGUUUCAACAUGAAUUUUGGAGGAGACACCAUCAUUCAAACCAUAGCACCAUCUUUUGGGAUCUAUGGUUGAUUUGGAUUUCCUGGAGUUCUCUUUGAAGAAAAUAAAGGUGUUCAGCUUGACUGAUCUACAAAUAAGCAGUAGCAUGAUAUCCAUCUACUGGUAUUUGAAAGAGUAAACAAAAAGAAAUGAAGAAAUUUAGGAAGGAUAAAAAUUAUUACAUCAGUAUUAGGGAUAAAACGGACACCAAACCUCA